rnacentral:rRNA from 1 species
UACAGAGGGUGCAAGCGUUGUUCGGAAUUAUUGGGCGUAAAGCGCGUGUAGGCGGCUUUGCAAGUCGGGCGUGAAAGCCCUCAGCUUAACUGAGGAAGUGCGCCCGAAACUGCAUGGCUUGAGUACCGGAGAGGGUGGCGGAAUCCCCAAGUAGAGGUGAAAUUCGUAGAUAUGGGGAGGAACACCAGUGGCGAAGGCGGCCACCUGGACGGAUACUGACGCUGAGAC